AUUGAACGCUGGCGGCAGGCUUAACACAUGCAAGUCGAGCGAGCGGCGGACGGGUGAGUAAUGUCUGGGAAACUGCCUGAUGGAGGGGGAUAACUACUGGAAACGGUAGCUAAUACCGCAUACCAUCAGAUGUGCCCAGAUGGGAUUAGCUAGGAGGUGGGGUAAUGGUUCACCUAGGCGACGAUCCCUAGCUGGGCUGAGAGGAUGACCAGCCACACUGGAACUGAGACGCGGUCCAUCAUCCUACGGGAGGCAGCAGUGGUGAAUAGUGCACAAAGGGCGCAAGCCUGAUGCAGCAAUGCCGCGUGUCUGAAGAAGGCCAUCGGGAUGUAAAGCACUUUCAGCGAUGGGGCGUUACGCGCAGAAGAAGCACCGGCUAACUCCGUGCCAGCAGCCGCGGUAAUUC
rnacentral:rRNA from 1 species